GACAGCAGUCGCCGCGGUAAUACGUAGGGUGCAAGCGUUAAUCGGAAUUACUGGGCGUAAAGCGUGCGCAGGCGGUUAUAUAAGACAGAUGUGAAAUCCCCGGGCUCAACCUGGGAACUGCAUUUGUGACUGUAUAGCUAGAGUACGGCAGAGGGGGAUGGAAUUCCGCGUGUAGCAGUGAAAUGCGUAGAUAUGCGGAGGAACACCGAUGGCGAAGGCAAUCCCCUGGGCCUGUACUGACGCUCAUGCACGGAAGCGUGGGGAGCAAACAGGAUUAGAUACCCCAGUAGUCCCUGUCUCUUAUAC
rnacentral:rRNA from 1 species